UAGAAUGUAGUUUAAUAAGAAUUUUUAAUUGUUAAUUAAAAGGUUUUGUUCUAA
rnacentral:tRNA from 1 species